rnacentral:rRNA from 1 species
UGCCAGCCGCCGCGGUAAUACGGAGGGUGCAAGCGUUAAUCGGAAUUACUGGGCGUAAAGCGUGCGUAGGCGGCGCAUUAAGUCGGAUGUGAAAGCCCUGGGCUUAACCUGGGAAUGGCAUUCGAUACUGGUGGGCUAGAGUCUGAUAGAGGGUAGCGGAAUUCCGGGUGUAGCGGUGAAAUUCGUAGAUAUUGGGAAGAACACCAGUGGCGAAGGCGGCUAACUGGCUCGGUACUGACGCUGAGAUGAGAAAGCGUGGGGAGCAAACAGGAUUAGAUA